rnacentral:rRNA from 1 species
GACAGAGGGUGCAAACGUUGUUCGGAAUUACUGGGCGUAAAGCGAGUGUAGGCGGCUUGGCAAGUCGGAUGUGAAAGCCCCGGGCUCAACCCGGGAAGUGCACUCGAUACUGCCGAGCUUGAGUGUCGGAGAGGUUGGUGGAAUUCUCGGUGUAGAGGUGAAAUUCGUAGAUAUCGGGAGGAACACUGGUGGCGAAGGCGGCCAACUGGACGAACACUGACGCUGAGACUCGAAAGCGUGGGGAGCAAACAGG